rnacentral:rRNA from 1 species
UACGAAGGGGGCUAGCGUUGUUCGGAAUUACUGGGCGUAAAGCGCGCGCAGGCGGUUUCUCAAGUCAGUGGUGAAAGCCCGGAGCUCAACUCCGGAACUGCCAUUGAAACUGUGAAACUUGAGGACGAGAGAGGUGAGUGGAAUUCCCAGUGUAGCGGUGAAAUGCGCAGAUAUCAGGAGGAACACCGGUGGCGAAGGCGGGUCUCUGGGCCGAUGAUUGACGCUGAGGAGCGAAAGCGUGGGGAGCGAACAGG